rnacentral:lncRNA from 1 species
ACGCCAGCUAUAUCUCACCGCAUAACAUCUGUGGCGUUUCGAUUCAAAUAGAACUUCCAACCUACGUUCCGUAACCGGCGUCUAAGGCAGGGCCUACCUAAGCCUUACUGACGAGUCCAAUAGGUAGGCCCGGGACGAAACGCAUGGUGCAUCAACGCGCGCCAUAUGAUAAUGUUUCUAACCUUUCCCCUUGAUGAUCUGAUAACAACAAUUGAAUUGAAUAUAUUUCAUAUUUAUUGAUGGUUUUACAUCAAUAGACGAUCAAAUAAUGUUUUUUCGAAGAGUAUUUGUCGGUAGAUUUCCUGCAAAUUCUGCAGCAACUUUGAGAUCAAUGCCUACAGCGGAAAGCGACGUGAUCCUGAAUAAUGUGGGUGAUAAGGGUGUUAUAACCCUUAACCGACCCAAAGCACUAAACUCCCUUAACCUGUCUAUGAUAAACAAAAUUUAUCCAGCUUUGCAAAACUGGGAGAAAGAGAAGAAGCUGGUAAUUGUAAAAGGUAACUAAGCACAAAGUUUUAUAUGUUAGACCGAGACUAGUAAGGAAAAUAUUUAAAUAACCUAAAAAGUUAAUGUGAAGUUUUCGCACAUCUUAUUGAAGUUAAUGAAAAAAAUAGUAGUAGGUAGUUUGAUUGUAUUCUAACUCCGAAAAAUUUGAUGAACAAUGCUGAUAGUUAAAACUGACCAGUUUUUAGGUCGUGGUGAAAAAUCUCUGUCUGACGUUUCGCAAGCACAAUUGAUUUGCAUCUUUACAGGGGGCUCGAACAUCUCUAAAA